CCUCCCUGUCGUCCCCAGCAAAGGAGGCUGGGAUCCAGACCUCCGGCUCGGCCGGAGGCACACCUCGGAGGCAGCAGCGCAGCUCCCUAACCAUAGAUCGAAGGGGCCGUCGUCAUCGUCCUCAGCCAGCACGAGCCGCCGUCAUCGCCCUCAGCUGAGCCGCCACCAAACCCUAGAAAAGGGUGACCCUUAAGUGAGCCUCCUCUCCUGCAUCCUCUGCCCAUGCCUUUUCAUGGGUCUCACCCCUACGUCAUACUCAGAGGCAAGUACGCACACACACAGAGAGAUGAACAGGGAAGAGGAGGGGUGAGCCUGACUUUUACAGAUUCGGUGUAGUCAAACAAACACUUCGUUCGUUGACUAGCCACUGCCAUCAUCAAAAAGAAGUUCUUGAUCUAUCUCGAAUACAUGAUGUUUACCUCUCCGUGGAUGGACUUCGCUGUUGUGGAUGUCACUCCGAAGUCGCACAGCUGAGGAACUAUGGUUGACCUCAUGCACAUUCGCGUUCAAUGUUCAGAUACUGGGCAGAGGGCGCUCACCACGGUCGAUCGGGGGCCCACUGUCCCUGUAGCUUCACCUAUGUGCGCUUCUACAGGGCACAACUAAUAGCUUGCUCUAUCUAUUCUGUCUUGCCAUAUCGCCUAACCAAAAUGGACUACGUUGUCAUCACAAGUCCUUGUGGGCUGGAUAUAGUGGUGGCAACAUGAUGGAGUGCCGGUAUUUGAUAGUUUGCUUUGUUGCCUUCAAGUACUGUGGUGCAUAAGCAAAGACAAAGACAUGGUAACUUCUUUCGUUCUAAGGACUUUUUGGUAAGACUAUGAAUUUACAGUAGGGGACUUAUUAAGCGUUUGGAGGUUUUUUCUUUGCCUUUGUGUUGUUAGUUGGUUUCACCAACUAUUAGUCCAAUGUACAUAUAAUUUAUGUGCAGCAACUGAUUUUUGGUUUGCCUUUGUGUUGUUAGUUGAUUCUGCCAAGUGCAAGUCCAAACUCCAUAUGAGCUCCUCCUACCUAUAUGUUUUUUCCUCUAUUGCAAUUUGUUAUUAGAAUAAUUUAUGAGCUUUCUAUAAUUAUUUAUGAUCUAUGUAGGAUCUUGGGGGAUAGUUAUAUGAGUCGACAAGGCUGCAGCAAGGUCAAAAACAAGGAGGACAUAGCGGAAUGGAACGAAGAAAAAGGCUGCCGGAGAUGCAAAAUUAAUACAUCAUGUUGGGUCCUGGUUCUUUUUUAGUUACAUAUGCAAAAGGAUUGGGAAAAAGGCUUUGAUGUUGAUGUUGUUGUUGUGCAAAAGGGUUGGCAUGACCGUGAUAUUGACAAUUUUCAAAGGUGCUGCUUUGUUAUAUUUGUUUACUUUGCUUAUAAAAUUCACAAUGUGUGCAUCAACACUGGGCUUGGUGAUGCGGCUCAGGCACAGGCUGGAUGGCCUUGUUUCCAAGAUUGAUGUGUCAUCGGAGGUGGUACACCUGAUGAGUAUUAGUAUAGUGCAGUACGAGUGAUUUUGAUUAUUUACUCCUGAGUACUGUACAAAUAUGAGAGAUAUUCAUGCAUCUCAUAUUAUUGAAGAAUUCCUCGAUGAGCAUACUUUAAACCGUGAUGUUCUCUUCAACCCAAGAAUAAAUUUUGAUUCGCUGACUAGACGAGCAAGGUAACCAAGCCGAGGAGAGACCUGUUGAUUUGGACUUGCAGGAGCAUGUCUCAGAUGGCUUCACUAUGGUGCCCACAUUAUCGGGAUUUUUGGAUAUAUUCAAUAGUCGAGCUGAUUGAAGUGUACUAUUGCAACUUGUGUGUAUGUGUUCACCAAUGCUGCAGUAGGUAAAUGAAUUUUAAUUGGCAUACACAUUAGAAGAAAUCAAUGUGUUUCACAAUGAAAUAUGCUUUACAAGUGCAUGCUGAAAGAUAUUUUCUUUGAACUUACUGUUUGCAAAUUCUCAGAUAGGGAUAUAUUGCGAUUUUGAGUAUAUCAGGCAGUUUUCUGUCGUUUCCUUAGCCUACCAUAUUCAGCACAGAGAAUGAAUGCUUAUAUCUACACUGUUAUUUCACACAAAACAAUUUUGAUUGUAGAUUUAUUAGUAGCGAGCUAGGCCAGUAUGACCUUUCGUAAACUGCAGGUAUAUAGAGCCAGUGGGAGAUAGGGAGGUUGCCAAAGAUGGACCUAGGACCAGGAGACUCUUUAACUUUCAACGGAGCAUAACCAAAUUAAAAGGCAUGGAUCUUAUUGUGCAGAACUCGGUUGAGUUUGUGAAAGUGAAGUGACUCUUUGUGCAUAUUAUUUAGUCCGAAUAUUUCCAUCAAUAUACGCGUGGUCAGGGCUGAUUAUCUAAAUUUUAGUGUAGGAGCAAUGACCAUGUUUAAGCAACCUAUCCAUCCUUCUUAUGACUAUUGCAUGCAUUUACUCAUAUUAGAAGCUGCACCGCUUUCAAGUACAAUGUGAUCCUCUUAGACAAUGUUCAGUUUCGACAGUGUCAUGCGUACAUAACCUAUACUUCCUAUUGGUAGUUGCUUCCACGAUGUUAAGGGAUGCUCCACUUGCAAACACGAUGUAAGCGGUUUAGGCACUGUCGUAUUUAUAUUAUCUGUACUUCUACUUAGUGAUAUGCUCCUGGUUUAGCCACAGUCAGCAUUCAAUUUCGUGCAGCUUGUGCUGCUAUGUAAGGGUAUGGCCAAUCAGUCUACUGAUAAGUGUAAAACUGUAAAACUCGGUUGUAGCUAUUUAUGCAUUGAAAAAAUAGUGAAUCCCUUUAUGGUUGCUUAGUAUAUAUACCAGGUUAAGGUCCAGGUCCAGUCAUUUUUUGUUUAUGAAAAAUAAAAUGCUCCUACUUUAGGACUUGUAUGUUGUUGUUUGUUACUGUAAUUGUCUAUUUGUAUUCUGAUGUACUUAUGCCUAUAGACCGGAAAGAAAGCAAUGAGGUAUGUUUGAGAGAAAAAUUGAGUAGGGAUACAGUUGUAAUAUGGAGAUAUGUCAUGUUCAGCAAGUCUGUUCUUGAUCUCCGUGAGGGAAAGCUGGUGAUUCCUACUUGUAUAGAUAUUCUGGAUGCUCUCUUGGUUCACAUUAAGGGUGAUCCAAUUUCGGCCAUUAUCUCUUUGGUUUAUAUAGAUUUUGCCAACUAUCAAAAUUCUAUGUAUAUAUUUUGGCACCUACAAAUGAUUUGACUGAAGAGAUCAACACCCAUGUCUUACACAUGGUAUCUACCAAAGUCAGACCAGCAGACCCAGAGAUCACACGAUAGACCAUAUUUUUCACCUGCGGAGGUCAGGGUCUGCCCUGUCACUUAUUGAUAGUCAUGGAUAAAACAAGCGGAUAGGAAAUUGACGUAGCUCUAAUUUCUUUUCAUGAUCAGAUGGUGAUCAAUCCAUUGAGUGAGCUCACCCUGGGCUGGUUGUAGCAUCACUAUGGAGGAACCGAUGAUGGUCCCAUAAAAUACACUGACAUAGUGUUUCAGGACAAACAUGUGUGGUAUAUGGUGUCUAAAGAGAGCCCCAAAGUCGCCCGAGCCAGGGAGACAUGUUGCUUUGGCUUGAGCACAACACAAGGUCUGACUGAGUUCAAGUGUGAGAGCAGCAGUAAAAAUAAUUGGGUUCAUGGUGUACAAAAUCUGCUCCAGCAGGUUGUGGUUAAUGUAACUGAUCUGGUAGGACACCAGCUAGAAACACUAAAACUCAAUACAUGAAUACAACAUGGCAGUAUCAAGAAUGGAUUUCCAUUCCAGUUUGAGGCAUGAGUUUAAUAGAGAUAUGGGUUUGUAAUCAUUUACCCCUGUAGGAGAUUUUUUUUUAGAUUAAUGUUAUUAGAUAGUUAAUUAUACUGCCCAA